GACGAACCGUGCGAACGUUGUUCGGAAUCACUGGGCUUAAAGGGCGCGUAGGCGGGUCCGCAAGUCAGGGGUGAAAUCUUUCAGCUUAACUGGAAAACAGCCCCUGAUACUGCGAGUCUCGAGGGAGGUAGGGGCAUGUGGAACUUCCGGUGGAGCGGUGAAAUGCGUAGAUAUCGGAAGGAACGCCGGUGGCGAAAGCGAACGUGCUGGACCUCUUCUGACGCUGAGGCGCGAAAGCCAAGGGAGCAAAGCAGG
rnacentral:rRNA from 1 species